GACGAACGCUGGCGGCGUGCCUAAUACAUGCAAGUCGAACGAACUCUGGUAUUGAUUGGUGCUUGCAUCAUGAUUUACAUUUGAGUGAGUGGCGAACCUGGUGGAGUAACACGUGGGAAACCUGCCCAGAAGCGGGGGAUAACACCUGGAAACAGAUGCUAAUACCGCAUAACAACUUGGACCGCAUGGUCCGAGUUUGGAAAGAUGGCUUCGGCUAUCACUUUUGG
rnacentral:rRNA from 1 species